rnacentral:rRNA from 1 species
UACGUAGGGGGGCGAGCGUUGUCCGGAGUUACUGGGCGUAAAGGGCAUGCAGGCGGUCAGACGCGUUUUGUGUGACAGCGGAGGGGCUUCACUCUCCGAGCAUACGAAAGACGGUGUGACUUGAGGGCUCGAGAGGGACACGGAAUCCGGGUGGAGUGGUGAAAUGCGUAGAGAUCCGGAGGAACACCGAAGGCGAAGGCAGUGUCCUGGCG